rnacentral:rRNA from 1 species
GACGAACGCUGGCGGCGUGCUUAACACAUGCAAGUCGAACGGACCUUGUCCCCUUUUUUUUUGGGGGUGGGGUUAGUGGCCAACGGGUGAGUAACACGUUAGUAACCUGCCCCUCCCUGCUUGAUAACCGCAUGACAGGGCGGCUAAUACGGGGUGUUCUGGCCUGCUCGCAUGGGUGGGUUUGGAAAGAUUUGACCGGUCUUGGUUGUUUUGGUGGGGGAUGUUCUCGCGGCCUUUCAGCUUUUUGGUGGGGUGGUGGCCUGCCAAGGCCUUUACGGGUGGGAGGCCUGAGAGGGUGGGCGGUCACAGGGGGAGUGACACACGGCAGAGUCUUCUAGGGGAGGCAGCAGGGGGGAAUAUUGCACAAGGGGCGAAAGUCAGAUGCAGCGACGCCGCGUGAGGGAUGGAGGCUUUCAGGUUGUGAACCUCUUUCGAGAGUGAAGAAGGUCCUGCUCUUUGUGGUGGGGUUGACGGUAGCUGGGUUAAUAAAGCGACGGCUAACUACGUG